UACGAAGGGGGCUAGCGUUGCUCGGAAUUACUGGGCGUAAAGGGCGCGUAGGCGGACAGUUUAGUCAGAGGUGAAAGCCCAGGGCUCAACCUUGGAAUUGCCUUUGAUACUGAUUGUCUUGAGUUUGGGAGAGGUGAGUGGAACUCCGAGUGUAGAGGUGAAAUUCGUAGAUAUUGGGAAGAACACCGGUGGCGAAGGCGGCCAUCUGGCCCGUAAUUGACGCUGAGGCGCGAAAGCGUGGGGAGCAAACGGG
rnacentral:rRNA from 1 species